GACGAAGGGGGGCUAGCGUUGUUCGGAAUUACUGGGCGUAAAGCGAGUGUAGGUGGUUGUCCAAGUUGGAUGUGAAAGCCUUGAGCUCAACUCAAGAAAUGCAUUCAGGACUGGGCGGCUAGAGGACCGGAGAGGAUAGUGGAAUUCCCAGUGUAGUGGUGAAAUACGUAGAGAUUGGGAAGAACACCAGUGGCGAAGGCGGCCACCUGGACGGUCACUGACGCUGAGACGCGAAAGCGUGGGUAGCAAACAGG
rnacentral:rRNA from 1 species